CUUUACUAUAGCUUGACACUGAACAUUGAGCCUUGAUGUGUAGGAUAGGUGGGAGGCUUUGAAGCGUGGACGCCAGUCUGCGUGGAGCCAACCUUGAAAUACCACCCUUUAAUGUUUGAUGUUCUAACGUUGGCCCCUUACCGGGGUUGCGGACAGUGUCUGGUGGGUAGUUUGACUGGGGCGGUCUCCUCCCAAAGCGUAACGGAGGAGCACGAAGGUUAGCUAAUCCUGGUCGGACAUCAGGAGGUUAGUGCAAUGGCAUAAGCUAGCUUGACUG
rnacentral:rRNA from 1 species